GAUGAACGCUGGCGGCGUGCCUAAUACAUGCAAGUCGAGCGAACAGAUGAGGAGCUUGCUCCUCUGACGUUAGCGGCGGACGGGUGAGUAACACGUGGAUAACCUACCUAUAAGACUGGGAUAACUUCGGGAAACCGGAGCUAAUACCGGAUAAUAUAUUGAACCGCAUGGUUCAAUAGUGAAAGACGGUUUUGCUGUCACUUAUAGAUGGAUCCGCGCCGCAUUAGCUAGUUGGUAAGGUAACGGCUUACCAGGGCAACGAUGCGUAGCCGACCUGAGAGGGUGAUCGGCCACACUGGAACUGAGACACGGUCCAGACUCCUACGGGAGGCAGCAGUAGGGAAUCUUCCGCAAUGGGCGAAAGCCUGACGGAGCAACGCCGCGUGAGUGAUGAAGGUCUUCGGAUCGUAAAACUCUGUUAUUAGGGAAGAACAAAUGUGUAAGUAACUAUGCACGUCUUGACGGUACCUAAUCAGAAAGCCACGGCUAACUACGUG
rnacentral:rRNA from 1 species